rnacentral:rRNA from 1 species
CCUACGGGAGGCAGCAGUGAGGAAUAUUGGUCAAUGGACGCAAGUCUGAACCAGCCAUGUCGCGUGCAGGAAGACGGCUCUAUGAGUUGUAAACUGCUUUUGUACGGGGAUAAACGCCGCUACGUGUAUAUGUCUGCAAGUACCGUACGAAUAAGGACCGGCUAAUUCCGUGCCAGCAGCCGCGGUAAUACGGAGGACCCAAGCGUUAUCCGGAUUCAUUGGGGUUAAAGGGUGCGUAGGCGGUCGGAUAAGUUAGAGGUGAAAUCCCGGGGCUCAACUCCGGAAUUGCCUCUGAUACUGGUCGGCUAGAGUGUAGUUGCGGUAGGCGGAAUGUAUGGUGUAGCGGUGAAAUGCUUAGAGAUCA